CGUCAGCUCGUGUCGUGAGAUGUUGGGUUAAGUCCCGCAACGAGCGCAACCCUUGUGAUAUGUUAUUAACAUUGAGUUGAGGACUCAUAUCAGACUGCCGGUGAUAAACCGGAGGAAGGUGGGGAUGACGUCAAAUCAUCAUGCCCCUUAUGGCCUGGGCUACACACGUACUACAAUGGCGUCUACAAAGAGCGGCAAGCCUAUGAAGGCAAGCGAAUCUCAUAAAGGACGUCUCAGUUCGGAUUGAAGUCUGCAACCCGACUUCAUGAAGCUGGAAUCGCUAGUAAUCGCGAAUCAGCAUGUCGCGGUGAAUACGUUCUCGGGCCUUGUACACACCGCCCGUCAAACCAUGGGAGUUGGUAAUGCCCGAAGCCGGUGGCAUAACCUUUCGAGGAGUGAGCCGUCGAAGGCAGGACCGAUGACUGGGGUUAAGUCGUAACAAGGUAUCCCUACGGGAACGUGGGGAUGGAUCACCUCCUUCCUAAGGAGAAAGAAGAAGAGUGGAAAUUGAAGGAAGUAGGGAGUAUACCUGUUUAGUUUUGAGAGGUCAAGGACUUCUCAGAGUGAUCGAUCUUUGAAAACUGAGCAACUAAGAAGAAAAGACAUAACAGAAAAGGUCUAAAACGUAAGUUGUAAGAUAAACUGAGAAAACAGUAAAAAACAGUUUCUUGAAAAAGAACAUCUCGAAACACACGAUAACCACUGAUUUAAGUAAGGAAGGGCGUACGGCGAAUGCCUGGCCACUCUAAA
rnacentral:rRNA from 1 species